rnacentral:rRNA from 1 species
AGAGCUUGCUUUAAAGAAGUUAGCGGCGGACGGGUGAGUAACACGUGGGCAACCUGCCUGUAAGACUGGGAUAACUUCGGGAAACCGGAGCUAAUACCGGAUAAUAUAUAGUACCUCCUGGUACUAUAUUGAAAGAUGGCCUCUAGCUAUCACUUGCAGAUGGGCCCGCGGCGCAUUAGCUAGUUGGUGAGGUAACGGCUCACCAAGGCAACGAUGCGUAGCCGACCUGAGAGGGUGAUCGGCCACACUGGGACUGAGACACGGCCCAGACUCCUACGGGAGGCAGCAGUAGGGAAUCUUCCACAAUGGACGAAAGUCUGAUGGAGCAACGCCGCGUGAGCGAUGAAGGCCUUCGGGUCGUANAGCUCUGUUGUUAGGGAAGAACAAGUGCGAGAGUAACUNNNNNNACCUUGACGGUACCUAACNNNANAGCCACGGCUAACUACGUGCNAGCAGCCNCGGUAAUACNUANGUGGCAAGCGUUGUCCGGAAUUAUUGGGCGUAAAGCGCGCGCNNNGGUUUCUUAAGUCUGAUGUGAAAGCCCACGGCUCACCGUGGANGGUCAUUGGNAACUGGNANAC